GUCUGUGGCCACACCAGCUGAAUAUGCCUAAUCUAGUCUAAACUUGUAAGCAAAGCAGGGCUGGGCUUAGUUAGCACUUGGAUGGGAAACAUGUAUGAGGAUCCUCAACUACUAUCU
rnacentral:rRNA from 1 species